GUAUCUUCAGUGGGCACGGCGACACGGCAACGAACAUGGCAUUAAUCAAACGAUUAUUCUUUGUAAUUCAGUGGACCGCAGUUGGCACUGAAGGGCUAGGGAUAUGUUGAAGCACGCUCCAUGCAGAACCACUGCGUCAGGGACCAGCUCUGCGGCCAAUAAGAAACAAGUAGCGUCCCGUGCUUCGUGUCAUUGUACCCGUGCGGAAGUGUGAGAAGGAACUUCCGUAUAAAAGACAAGAACGGCCCCUCGAUAAAUCAUUCUUCUGCAUUGACGUCUGGUAAGUGACUUCUUUUCGCAUGUGAGCCAAUCUGGAUCAGGUUGUCUUUACAAAUCAUUUAAGGUAAUAGUUGUAACCAGGGCAGGGUAGCGGUAAUGGUAACAGGAACGGUAUAUUACCGAAAUUGGAGCGGAAAUGCAUACCAUUGUCCUCCAUUACCGGAAAGAGAAACGGAUACGAAAAUUAUCGACCGGAAUACAAUUCGGGUAAUGGCUAUUACUGUUGAGCGAUGACAUUUCAGUGACUUUUAAUUUUAUUUUUUGUCUUUUGAGACUGCAUUCCCUGUAAUGCUCUAAAUACUGCAUGACAGCAUGGAAACAAAGCGCAAUACUGGAUAUCGAGGAUGCAUCACUCGCUUUCCUACCCGUGACAUUACCUACCUACAUGACAUCAAGACCUGAGACUUACAAAACAUAGACUCCACGCACUCUACACCGCCAUAACACGAGGAUGACAGCAUAUGUUUUUUUAUUUUUAUUUUUACUUUCUUCAUUUCACCGCGGCUAUGGCAGUAUUAUUUACUAGUGAGAGCGUCCACCUAUGAAUGUGACAUUGGAUGAAGGUUUCGCCCAUCUUGGGUUGCUAGACUCAGAGUGACAGAUAUUGACGAUAGCGACGAGAUAGCGACGCUAGACUGAAGACAUGCCCUACACUUGUUUAACAAUUUUGCAGGAAGUGCGCAUCCCAACGACGCAAAAUUACUUCAGUUGUGUGUACGCGUGACACCCAAGCAGUACUUGGGCAAAACAGGUUGCUGACAUAUCCGGACGGGCUGUCCUCUCGAAGCUCUGUAACAGCCUUUCCAUUACCGGAAACAGUAACGGAAAAAUAACAGAAACGAAAUUAAAAGCUGGUAUCAGAAACGGAUAACGGAAACGAAAAUGGAAACGGUAAUGAAAAUACUUCCGUUGCCCUUCCCUGGUUGUAACGAUAACUACAUUGGUAAUCACUGCCAUAAAUGUGAAGCCCUCGCCGUAGGUAGCCUUCCAGAGUGUGUAUUUCCCAACCAUUCUUAUGCGGUAGAAAGGGAGCAGCCACUGGAGACUAACCAAUCAUAUUUCGCAAUGCUAUCAUUCUCUCUCCUGACUGGUUGAAAGUUAGAGGCGUACGCGCUAUUGAGGUGCUUUCACAGAAGGACGUACUCGUAUGCCCCGCUCUCUCCCCUGAAAUCAAGAUCGGUAGCGUUAUUGUACUGUGGAACAGGUAGCGCGUUAUGUGGUGAAGCUCUGUCUUUACAAUAGGGAACAGGUCAGUUGGGACCCUUUUACGUGUAUCAAGACUUCAAGACAGUCAUCAUGAAGGCCGUCAUCGUCGUGUUUCUCCUGGUCAUUUUCUGUGCUGUCAUCGACGCUACAGUCCACAAGAUCCACCUCGGCGUUAGGGACGCAAGCCCAGAUUACUUCUCUCAUAAGAUUUCUUCAGAAGAUUACUUGACUCCUCAUUCCCGUGUCCGGAGGUUCUGCAUGGGUCUACUUCUUGGAAUUGACUGCUGAAGACCGCCUGAAUGUCGCCAUCCAAGAAGUCAAUAAAAAGAUGCCUCCUCUUAUCUGUUGAACAGGAAUAAACACGAGGCACAAAGCACGA